UUUCCGUAGGUGAACCUGCGGAAGGAUCAUUACAGAGUUCAUGCCCUUACGGGUAGAUCUCCCACCCUUGAAUAUUAUACCUUUGUUGCUUUGGCGGGCCGCUUCGGCUACCGGCUACGGCUGGUGAGUGCCCGCCAAAGGACCCCCAAACUCUGAAUUAUAGUGUCGUCUGAGUACUAUAUAAUAGUUAAAAACUUUCAACAACGGAUCUCUUGGUUCUG
rnacentral:misc_RNA from 1 species